GACGAACGCUGGCGGCGUGCCUAACACAUGCAAGUCGAACGGUCCGGCACUCAACCGACCCUCAGUCUAACUGUAGGGGAAGUUGAGUGCCGGAUAGUGGCGGACGGGUGAGUAACGCGUGGGCAACCAACCCUGUACAGUGGGAUAACACCGGGAAACCGGUGCUAAUACCGCAUGACACCUAGAUGGUGCAUACUGUUUAGGUUAAAGGGCAAAACCGGUACGGGACGGGCCCGCGUCCCAUUAGCUGGUUGGUGAGAUAACGGCUCACCAAGGCGACGAUGGGUAGCCGACCUGAGAGGGUGGCCGGCCACACUGGGACUGAGACACGGCCCAGACUCCUACGGGAGGCAGCAGUGGGGAAUAUUGCGCAAUGGAGGGAACUCUGAUGCAGCGACGCCGCGUGAGUGAAGAAGGUCUUCGGAUCGUAAAACUCUAGUCCUUGGUGAAGAAAAGGACGGUAGCCAAGGAGGAAGCCCCGGCUAACUACGUGCCAGCAGCCGCGGUAAAAGUCAACGUCG
rnacentral:rRNA from 1 species